rnacentral:rRNA from 1 species
AUUUCGAAUUUUUCCGUAGNGUAACUUGUUGAGGGAUCAUUACANAAAUAUGAAGGCGGGCNGGAAUCUCUCGGGGUUACAGCCUUGCUGAAUUAUUCACCCUUGUCUUAUGCCUACUUCUUGUUUCCUUGGUGGGUUCGCCCACCACUAGGACAAACAUAAACCUUUUGUAAUUGCAAUCAGCGUCAGUAACAAAUUAAUAAUUACAACUUUCAACAACGGAUCUCUUGGUUCUGGCAUCGAUAAAGAACGCAGCGAAGUGCGAUAAGUAGUGUGAAUUGCAGAAUUCACUGAAUCAUCGAAUCUUUGAACGCACAAUGCGCCCUUUGGUAUUCCAAAGGGCAUGCCUGUUCGAGCGUCAUUUGUACCCUCAAGCUUUGCUUGGUGUUGGGCGUCUUGUCUCUAGCUUUGCGGGAGACUCGCCUUAAAGUAAUUGGCAGCCGGCCUACUGGUUUCGGAACGCAGCACAAGUCGCACUCUCGAUCAACAAAGGUCUAGCAUCCAUUAANCCUUUUUUCAACUUUUGACCUCGGAUCAAGUAGGGAUACCCGCUGAACUUAAGAAUAUCAAUAAGCGGAGGAAA